rnacentral:tRNA from 1 species
GGCGGUGUAGUAUAAUGGGUAGGGAGCCAGUCUGGUAACCUAAAGGUCGCAGGUUCGAUUCCCGUGUAGGACACUGCCG